AUGGCGGACACGGUGGUGAGCAUGGCGAGAUCCAUGCUGGGGGGCGCCAUCACCAUGGCCGCCUCUGCCGCGGCCACCGAGAUGAGCCUCCUCAUAGGCGUCCGCAAGGACAUCUGGUUCAUAAAAGACGAGCUCAAGACGAUGCAAGCAUUCCUCGUGGCUGAUGAGAAAACAAAGAAGAAAAACAUGCUACUGAAGGUGUGGGCAGAGCAAGUAAGAGAUCUAGCAUAUGGUAUUGAGGAUUGUCUUGAUGAAUUUAUGGUGCAUGUGGGAAGCCAGAGCCGUUCUCGACGGCUGCUUAAGCUGAACGAUCGGCAUCGGAUUGCCAGCCAAAUCCGUGAUCUCAAAGCAAGAGUUGAAGAAGUGAGCAAUAGGAAUGCACGCUAUAACUUGAUCAACGCUGAUGCCUCCAGCAACAUUGACGAGGUGAAUGCCAGCAUGGAAGAUGUUCGUAGCCACUCAGCUGGUAACAUUGAUGAGGCAGAGCUUGUGGGCUUUGUUAACCCUAAAGAGGAGUUGAUUAAGAUGGUGGAUGUUAACUCCAGAGAUGGUCUUUCGAAGGUGAUAUGUGUCGUUGGCAUGGGCGGUUUAGGCAAGACUACUCUAGCAAGGAAGGCAUAUGAUAGCAAGGAAGAUAUUGUGAAUAAAUUUGCUUGUUGUGCUUGGGUCACAGUCUCACAGUCAUUUUCGAAGAUAGAGAUGCUCAAGGAGAUGAUAAGUCAACUUUUGGGUACCGAGUCACUGAGGAAAUGCUUGAAAGAACUUGAACAGAAGGCAAUGCAAGUAGAGCAUCUCGCCAACUACCUCAGAGAAAAGCUAGAGGACAAGAAAUACCUUAUUGUUCUUGAUGAUGUGUGGACCAUAGAUGCCUGGAAUUGGAUCAAAUAUAUUGCUUUUCCUAUUAGAAACAAUAAAGGUAGCCGAAUAAUAGUAACAACACGAGAUGUGGGCUUGGCUGCGCAGUGCACUUCAGAAUCACUUAUCUACCACCUUAAGCACCUACAAAUAGAGGAUGCCACAAAUUUGCUACUAAGAAAGAGUGGCAAAACACGGGAAGACAUGAAAAAUGAUAAGAAAAUGAUGGCAGUGGUCAACAAAAUUGUAAAGAAGUGUGGUGGUCUACCGCUGGCUAUACUCACUAUAGGAGGCAUGCUUGGCAACAAAAAGGCAACAGAGUGGGAAAGUAUCUAUACACAAAUCCCAUCAGAGCUUGAGAGCAACCCUAGCCUAGAAGCAAUGAGGAGGAUAGUUACUCUAAGCUACAAUAGCUUGCCGUCUCAUCUCAAGUCAUGCUUUCUGUAUCUAAGCAUCUUUCCUGAGGAUUUUGAAAUCAAAAGGAGGCGUUUGGUAGAUAGAUGGAUAACAGAGGGGUUUGUUAGAGCCAGAGGUGGAGUAAACAUCAAAGAUGUUGGAAUAAGUUAUUUCACCGAGCUAAUCAACCGAAGCAUGAUUCAGCCCUCAAAAGUGAGCAUAGAAGGACAUAUUAAGAGUUGCCGAGUCCAUGAUAUCAUGCGUGAUGUGAUGGUCUCGAUAUCCAGGGAAGAAAAUUUUCUGUACUUGGCAGGAGAUAAUGCAACUACUAUAGCAGAGGGGAACUUCCGUCAUGUAGCAUACCAUGGUAGUAAGUGCCCAAAAUUAGGCGUGGAUUGUAGCCAUGUUCGUUCAUUAACCAUGUUUGGUGAGAGAUCCAUGGAGCCAUCAUCUUCAAUUUGUUCACCUGACAUGAGAAUGCUCCGAGCCUUGGAUCUAGAGAACGCACAGUUUGAAGUGACACAAAAGGAUAUCAGCAACAUAGGAUUGUUUCGUCACUUGAAGUAUCUGAAUUUUUCUUAUCCUCAAGGAUAUUCACAUAUUUACAAACUACCUAGAUCCAUAGGGAAAUUACAAGGCUUGCAUACUUUGAACAUAACAGACAGUUAUAUUACAGAACUGCCAACUGAGAUUAGUAAACUCAAGAGUCUGCAUAGUCUCCGUUGUACCAGAAAGAGAUCCUAUAAAUGGUUUGUCCUGGGUGAACCCAAGGAAUGCUUUCUGAACACAUUAUGUUUGCCCAUGCCGUUCACACCUUUGUUUAAUUCUAGUGAGCAUGCUGAGGCAGUUGCAGAGCUACACAUGGCAUGGUCUAGCAAUGGGUCAGAGUCAGAAGGUGUGAGUGUGCCAAAAGGAAUCGGCAAAUUAAAAGAGCUGCAAAUACUAGAGGUUGUAGACAUCAGCCGAACUAGUUGCAAAGCAAUUAAAGAGCUAGGUGAGCUUGUGCAGCUGAGAAAACUGAGCGUGGUAACAGAAGGGGCCACCAAGCAAAAAUGCCAGCUACUCAGUGAUGCCAUUGAGAAGCUCACUUGCCUCCGCUCCCUUAAAGUGGUUGGUUCACUCAAGUGGAUGCAUGUUGUUUCCUCUCCUCCUCCCCUGUUGAGGAGCCUGAAGUUGUAUGGACACCUUGGAGCGGUUCCUGGCUGGUUUGGCAAUCUAAUGCAUUUGGUCAAGCUUUCCUUAGGGGGCAGCGUAAUAAAGGAAGAAGGUAAAAUCAUGGAAAUACUAGGGCCACUUCCCAACCUCAUGGAGCUUGGUCUUAGAAGCGGCUCUUAUACUGGGGAGACGUUAGUGUUCAGAACGGGAGCAUUCCCAAAUCUCAAAAUACUUGAUAUUUGUGAUGUGCAGCAACUGAGAGAGUUGAUAUUCGAGGAGGGCGCCUCGCCGCAGCUGGGAAAGAUAGAAAUCGAAGUCUGCCAGUUGAAAUCAGGGAUUAAUGGUAUCAAGCACCUUGCAAGUCUCAAGGAGAUUUGUCUUAAUUGGUGUGGUGAAGUGGCCGGGCUUGGUAUGUUGCGACGUGAAUUGGAGGCACACCCCAACCACCCCGUGCUGCGACUGCAUGACGAACAGAGCUAUCACGACCUGGGUGACAUUGUCCAAGGAUCCACUAUUGGAGUACAUGUGGAUGAAGCAACGGAGGCGGAGGAAUCAUCACCUCUCCAUCCCGAGCAUGCAGCAGCGGGGGAGAGCUCCUUGUCGCAGGUGGUGGUCAGAACGACGGGGGCGACAGCAGCAGCCAAGACCCUGACAUAA
rnacentral:rRNA from 1 species